GGGGGCUCAAACCCAUCAUGACCUGAACUGAAGCUGGACUCCUAACCGACUGAGCCACCCAGGUUCAGCAAGUAUUAGACUGUCAGAUUAGCUCCCAAGGAAGCUGGAUAACUGGAAAGGAAGCCACAACUCUCAGCCUCCCAAAUGGGGAAGAGGAGCUGUGGGGUGUAGGACUGGCUUCCUAUUUCCACUGAGCCACGGCAAUGAAACUCGGAGCCUGGGGAGUCUUUCUCCAAGUGAGUGAGGGCUGAAUGACGGGAGGAACCACAGCCCCUGGUCCCACAACUGAACAGAAACCCCACCACUGGCAAGGCAACCAGGAGCCAGUGGUUUUCUCUCCUUGGGGUUGGGCAGAGAAGCCUAAGAAGCCACCAAAGGCCAGAGAGGAGGAGCCCCACCUCUGUGUUCUCUGAGCAGUUCUGCUUUUAUCUCUCUUAGUUAUCGCUGUUCCAUUUUAAGCUUCAUUUGAAUAAAGAGUUUUGCUGCUA